rnacentral:rRNA from 1 species
AGAGUUUGAUCCUGGCUCAGGAUGAACGCUGGCGGCGUGCUUAACACAUGCAAGUCGAACGGGAAGCGGUGUAUUUUUACUUUGGUAAUUUUGCGCCGUGGAGAGUGGCGAACGGGUGCGUAACACGUAGGUAACCUGCCCUGAAAUGGGGGAUAACCAUGGGAAACUGUGGCUAAUACCGCAUAAUCUCGCCGGGACGGGAGUACCGGUGAGGAAAGCUGAGGCGAUUUGGGAGGGGCCUGCGGUCGAUUAGCUGGUUGGUGGGGUAAAGGCCCACCAAGGCGAUGAUCGAUAGCUGUUCUGAGAGGAAGACCAGCCACACGGGAACUGAGACACGGUUCCGACUCCUACGGGGGGCAGCAGUGAGGAAUAUUGCGCAAUGGGGGAAACCCUGACGCAGCAACGCCGCGUGGAGGACGAAGGUUUUCGGAUUGUAAACUCCUUAUCUGGGGGAAGAGAGAGGACGGUACCCCAGGACGAAGACACGGCUAACUAGGUGCCAGCAGCCGCGGUAAUACCUAGGUGUCGAGCGUUAUCCGGAAUUACUGGGCGUAAAGGGUGCGCAGGCGGCGAUACAAGUCUGGCGUGAAAGCUUCUGGCUUAACUGGGAGAGGACGUUAGAAACUGUAUGGCUAGAGUGAAUGAGAGGGGGGCGGAAAUCCCGGUGUAGUGGUGGAAUGCGUAGAUAUCGGGAAGAACACCAGAGGCGAAGGCGGCCUCCUGGCAUUUUACUGACGCUGAGGCACGAAAGCGUGGGUAGCGAACGGGAUUAGAUACCCCGGUAGUCCACGCUGUAAACGAUGUGAACGAGGUGUGGGCGGUGUAGAAGCCGUCUGUGCCGGAGCAAACGCGAUAAGUUCACCGCCUGGGGAGUACGGUCGCAAGGCUAAAACUCAAAGGAAUUGACGGGGGCCCGCACAAGCAGCGGAGCGUGUGGUUUAAUUCGAUGCAACGCGAAGAACCUUACCUGGGCUUGACAUGUACGUAGUAGUGAAGGGAAACCGGAACGAGCCUUCGGGCAGCGUAGACAGGUGCUGCAUGGCUGUCGUCAGCUCGUG